CCAACACGACAGUGAUGGUCGGACGGUCCCACUGAAGUGAAGAGAGGAUACUCGAUUCAGUACAAAGCAAGGUUUAUACGAACAAUCGAUGGACGAUUUUGUGACCUCAAAGUUGAUUGAGUGGCAGCUUCCAGGGCUGAUAGAAAGGUUCAGAGAUGCCAGGGGAGAAGUAGCCCUGAUGCUGCUGCCUGUCAUGCUCCCUCCGCCUGUUUAUAAACAGGGCAGAAAAUUGGUCCGCGCCAGUGUGGAAGAAUCAA